rnacentral:rRNA from 1 species
AACGAACGCUGGCGGCAGGCUUAACACAUGCAAGUCGAGCGCCCCGCAAGGGGAGCGGCAGACGGGUGAGUAACGCGUGGGAAUCUACCCAUCUCUACGGAAUAACGCAUGGAAACGUGUGCUAAUACCGUAUACGUCCUUCGGGAGAAAGAUUUAUCGGAGAUGGAUGAGCCCGCGUUGGAUUAGCUAGUCGGUGGGGUAAAGGCCUACCAAGGCGACGAUCCAUAGCUGGCCUGAGAGGAUGAUCAGCCACACUGGGACUGAGACACGGCCCAGACUCCUACGGGAGGCAGCAGUGGGGAAUAUUGGACAAUGGGCGCAAGCCUGAUCCAGCCAUGCCGCGUGAGUGAUGAAGGCCCUAGGGUUGUAAAGCUCUUUCACCGGUGAAGAUAAUGACGGUAACCGGAGAAGAAGCCCCGGCUAACUUCGUGCCAGCCGCCGCUGUAAGAC